CCUACGGGAGGCAGCAGUGAGGAAUAUUGGGCAAUGGGGGCAACCCUGACCCAGCCAUGCCGCGUGAGUGAAGAAGGUCUUCGGAUUGUAAAGCUCUUUCGGACGUGACGAUGCUGACGGUAGCGUCUAAAGAAGCACCGGCAAACUUCGUGCCAGCAGCCGCGGUAAUACGAAGGGUGCGAGCGGUGUUCGGAAUUACUGGGCGUAAGGGGAGUGUAGGCGGAUUUUUAAGUCAGCGGUAAAAUGUCCGGGCUCAACCCGGGCCGGCCGUUGAAACUGGGGUUCUUGAGUGGGCGAGAGGUAUGCGGAAUGCGGGGUGUAGCGGUGAAAUGCAUAGAUAUCACGCAGAACUCCGAUUGCGAAGGCAGCAUACCGGCGCCCGACUGACGCUGAGGCACGAAAGCGUGGGGAUCGAACAGGAUUAGAUACCCCGGUAGUC
rnacentral:rRNA from 1 species